AUACGGGGGGUGCAAGCGUUAUUCGGAUUUAUUGGGCGUAAAGGGCGCGUAGGCGGCUUGGUAAGUCAGAUGUGAAAGCCCGGGGCUUAACCCCGGAAGUGCAUUUGAAACUAUCAGGCUUGAGUAUGGGAGAGGGAAGUGGAAUUCCUGGUGUAGAGGUGAAAUUCGUAGAUAUCAGGAGGAACACCGGUGGCGAAGGCGACUUCCUGGACCAAUACUGACGCUGAGGCGCGAAGGCGUGGGGAGCAAACAGGAUUAGAAACCCGGGUAGUCC
rnacentral:rRNA from 1 species